rnacentral:rRNA from 1 species
UGGGGAAUAUUGCACAAUGGGGGAAACCCUGAUGCAGCGACGCCGCGUGAACGAAGAAGGUAUUCGUAUCGUAAAGUUCUGUCCUAUGGGAAGAUAAUGACAGUACCAUAGAAGAAAGCUCCGGCUAAAUACGUGCCAGCAGCCGCGGUAAUACGUAUGGAGCGAGCGUUGUCCGGAAUUAUUGGGCGUAAAGGGUACGCAGGCGGUUUAAUAAGUCGAAUGUUAAAGAUCGGGGCUCAACCCCGCAAAGCAUUGGAAACUGAUAAACUUGAGUAGUGGAGAGGAAAGUGGAAUUCCUAGUGUAGUGGUGAAAUACGUAGAUAUUAUGAGGAAUACCAGUAGCGAAGGCGACUUUCUGGACACAAACUGACGCUGAGGUACGAAAGCGUGGGGAGCAAACAGG